ACGCUCGACACCUACGGGAGGUAGCAGUAGGGAAUCUUCCACAAUGGACGCAAGUCUGAUGGAGCAACGCCGCGUGAGUGAAGAAGGUCUUCGGAUCGUAAAACUACUGUUGUUAGAGAAGAACACGAGUGAGAGUAACUGUUCAUUCGAUGACGGUAUCUAACCAGCAAGUCACGGCUAACUACGUGUCAGCAGCCGCGGUAAUCUGAGCGGGCGUGGCAAGGC
rnacentral:rRNA from 1 species